rnacentral:tRNA from 1 species
GCUCAGAGGUUAGAGUGUUGGCCCUCAGACCCAAGGGUCCAGGGUUCGAUUCCCUG